rnacentral:lncRNA from 10 species
GCCGGGCGUGGUAGCAGGCACCUGUAGUCCCACCUACUCGGGAGGCUGAGGCAGGAGAAUGGCGUGAACCCGGGAGGCAGAGCUUGCAGUGAGCCGAGAUCGCGCCACUGCACUCCAGCCUGGGCGACAGAGCGAGACUCCAUCUCAAAAAAAAAAAAAGGCCAAAAGAUGAACUUUUUUUUUUUUUUUUUUUUUUUUUUGAGACGGAGUCUCGCUCUGUGGCCCAGGCGGGAGUGCAGUGGCGCAAUCUCGGCUCACUGCAAGCUCCGCCUCCCGGGUUCACGCCAUUCUCCUGC